rnacentral:rRNA from 2 species
UUAAGCGACUAAGCGUACACGGUGGAUGCCCUGGCAGUCAGAGGCGAUGAAGGACGUGCUAAUCUGCGAAAAGCGUCGGUAAGGUGAUAUGAACCGUUAUAACCGGCGAUGUCCGAAUGGGGAAACCCAGUGCAAUUCGUUGCACUAUCGUUAACUGAAUACAUAGGUUAACGAGGCGAACCGGGGGAACUGAAACAUCUAAGUACCCCGAGGAAAAGAAAUCAACCGAGAUUCCCCCAGUAGCGGCGAGCGAACGGGGAGCAGCCCAGAGUCUGAAUCAGCUUGUGUGUUAGUGGAACGGUCUGGAAAGUCCGACGGUACAGGGUGAUAGUCCCGUACACCAAAAUGCACAGGCUGUGAACUCGAAGAGUAGGGCGGGACACGUGGUAUCCUGUCUGAAUAUGGGGGGACCAUCCUCCAAGGCUAAAUACUCCUGACUGACCGAUAGUGAACCAGUACCGUGAGGGAAAGGCGAAAAGAACCCCGGCGAGGGGAGUGAAAAAGAACCUGAAACCGUGUACGUACAAGCAGUGGGAGCACCUUCGGGUGUGACUGCGUACCUUUUGUAUAAUGGGUCAGCGACUUAUAUUCUGUAGCAAGGUUAACCGUAUAGGGGAGCCGCAGGGAAACCGAGUCUUAACUGGGCGUUAAGUUGCAGGGUAUAGACCCGAAACCCGGUGAUCUAGCCAUGGGCAGGUUGAAGGUUGGGUAACACUAACUGGAGGACCGAACCGACUAAUGUUGAAAAAUUAGCGGAUGACUUGUGGCUGGGGGUGAAAGGCCAAUCAAACCGGGAGAUAGCUGGUUCUCCCCGAAAGCUAUUUAGGUAGCGCCUCGUGAACUCAUCUUCGGGGGUAGAGCACUGUUUCGGCUAGGGGGUCAUCCCGACUUACCAACCCGAUGCAAACUACGAAUACCGAAGAAUGUUAUCACGGGAGACACACGGCGGGUGCUAACGUCCGUCGUGAAGAGGGAAACAACCCAGACCGCCAGCUAAGGUCCCAAAGUCAUGGUUAAGUGGGAAACGAUGUGGGAAGGCACAGACAGCCAGGAUGUUGGCUUAGAAGCAGCCAUCAUUUAAAGAAAGCGUAAUAGCUCACUGGUCGAGUCGGCCUGCGCGGAAGAUGUAACGGGGCUAAACCAUGCACCGAAGCUGCGGCAGCGACACUAUGUGUUGUUGGGUAGGGGAGCGUUCUGUAAGCCUGCGAAGGUGUGCUGUGAGGCAUGCUGGAGGUAUCAGAAGUGCGAAUGCUGACAUAAGUAACGAUAAAGCGGGUGAAAAGCCCGCUCGCCGGAAGACCAAGGGUUCCUGUCCAACGUUAAUCGGGGCAGGGUGAGUCGACCCCUAAGGCGAGGCCGAAAGGCGUAGUCGAUGGGAAACAGGUUAAUAUUCCUGUACUUGGUGUUACUGCGAAGGGGGGACGGAGAAGGCUAUGUUAGCCGGGCGACGGUUGUCCCGGUUUAAGCAUGUAGGCUGAUUGUCCAGGCAAAUCCGGAUAAUCAAGGCUGAGGUGUGAUGACGAGGCACUACGGUGCUGAAGUAACAAAUGCCCUGCUUCCAGGAAAAGCCUCUAAGCAUCAGGUAACAUCAAAUCGUACCCCAAACCGACACAGGUGGUCAGGUAGAGAAUACCAAGGCGCUUGAGAGAACUCGGGUGAAGGAACUAGGCAAAAUGGUGCCGUAACUUCGGGAGAAGGCACGCUGGUGUGUAGGUGAAGUCCCUGCGGAUGGAGCUGAGACCAGUCGAAGAUACCAGCUGGCUGCAACUGUUUAUUAAAAACACAGCACUGUGCAAACACGAAAGUGGACGUAUACGGUGUGACGCCUGCCCGGUGCCGGAAGGUUAAUUGAUGGGGUUAUCCGUAAGGAGAAGCUCUUGAUCGAAGCCCCGGUAAACGGCGGCCGUAACUAUAACGGUCCUAAGGUAGCGAAAUUCCUUGUCGGGUAAGUUCCGACCUGCACGAAUGGCGUAAUGAUGGCCAGGCUGUCUCCACCCGAGACUCAGUGAAAUUGAACUCGCUGUGAAGAUGCAGUGUACCCGCGGCAAGACGGAAAGACCCCGUGAACCUUUACUAUAGCUUGACACUGAACAUUGAGCCUUGAUGUGUAGGAUAGGUGGGAGGCUUUGAAGCGUGGACGCCAGUCUGCGUGGAGCCAACCUUGAAAUACCACCCUUUAAUGUUUGAUGUUCUAACGUUGGCCCCUGACCGGGGUUGCGGACAGUGUCUGGUGGGUAGUUUGACUGGGGCGGUCUCCUCCCAAAGCGUAACGGAGGAGCACGAAGGUUAGCUAAUCCUGGUCGGACAUCAGGAGGUUAGUGCAAUGGCAUAAGCUAGCUUGACUGCGAGCGUGACGGCGCGAGCAGGUGCGAAAGCAGGUCAUAGUGAUCCGGUGGUUCUGAAUGGAAGGGCCAUCGCUCAACGGAUAAAAGGUACUCCGGGGAUAACAGGCUGAUACCGCCCAAGAGUUCAUAUCGACGGCGGUGUUUGGCACCUCGAUGUCGGCUCAUCACAUCCUGGGGCUGAAGUAGGUCCCAAGGGUAUGGCUGUUCGCCAUUUAAAGUGGUACGCGAGCUGGGUUUAGAACGUCGUGAGACAGUUCGGUCCCUAUCUGCCGUGGGCGCUGGAGAAUUGAGGGGGGCUGCUCCUAGUACGAGAGGACCGGAGUGGACGCAUCACUGGUGUUCGGGUUGUCAUGCCAAUGGCACUGCCCGGUAGCUAAAUGCGGAAGAGAUAAGUGCUGAAAGCAUCUAAGCACGAAACUUGCCCCGAGAUGAGUUCUCCCUGAGACUAUAAGUCUCCUGAAGGAACGUUGAAGACGACGACGUUGAUAGGCCGGGUGUGUAAGCGCAGCGAUGCGUUGAGCUAACCGGUACUAAUGAACCGUGAGGCUUAACCUU